AUUGAACGCUGGCGGCAUGCUUUACACAUGCAAGUCGAACGGCAGCGGGGAGGAGCUUGCUUCUCUGCCGGCGAGUGGCGAACGGGUGAGUAAUACAUCGGAACGUGUCGAGAAGAGGGGGAUAACCACCCGAAAGGGUGGCUAAUACCGCAUAAAUUCUGAGGAAGAAAGCUGGGGACCUAGGAAUAGGCCUAGCGCUUUUUGAGCGGCCGAUGUCGGAUUAGCUAGUUGGUGAGGUAAAGGCUCACCAAGGCGAAGAUCUGUAGCGGGUCUGAGAGGAUGAUCCGCCACACUGGGACCGAGACACGGCCCAGACUCCUACGGGAGGCAGCAGUGGGGAAUUUUGGACAAAGGGGGCAACCCUGAUCCAGCCAUGCCGCGUGUAUGAAGAAGGCCUUAGGGUUGUAAAGUACUUUUGUUAGGGAAGAAAAGUCAGCUGUGAAUAAUGGCUGAUACUGACGGUACCUAAAGAAUAAGCACCGGCUAACUACGUG
rnacentral:rRNA from 1 species